rnacentral:misc_RNA from 1 species
UCCCUUCGAUAAGUAGUGUGAAUUGCAGAAUUCAGUGAAUCAUCGAAUCUUUGAACGCACAUUGCGCCCCUUGGUAUUCCAUGGGGCAUGCCUGUUCGAGCGUCAUUUGUACCCUCAAGCUCUGCUUGGUGUUGGGUGUUUGUCCCCGUCUCCGCGCGUGGACUCGCCCCAAAGUGAUUGGCAGCCGGCGUACUGGUCCCGGAGCGCAGCACAUGUCGCGCAAACGAGUGCCUUGGUACGGCGGCGUCCAUAAGCCCCUCUCUCACGCUCUUGACCUCGGAUCAGGUAGGGAUACCCGCUGAACUUAAGC